CCCUGCGGAGCUCCGAGCCGGUGCACCGGCUCCUCUAAGCAGGUUUUCGGUGGUGGUGGUGUGCGGGGCUGGGGGCGUCCCAGAGCAUCCCUGCGACGCGGGCUGCUUCUGAGUCCCCGGGGACUGUGCGUGGGAAGGACACACCCCAGGACCCCACCCCAUCGCUGGGGUGCAGUCUGUGGGAGAGCCCAGGAAUCUGGGUUUGGGGUGGAGCAGCAGCACCAGGUACAAGCCUGAGUUCAUCAGCUCACUCCGCGCCUAAACAUGGGGGAGAAAGCGCAUCCGCUCAGCUACGAGGCAAUCACGCGCAGUCAUGUGGUGCAGGGGAAUGAGAGGCCAGGAGGCGUCGAGAAAUGGAACAGCCCGAGCUCCAAGCUGCGUUUGAUAAGGUGCUUUGACCCAGCAAUGAGAAGGUCGGUACAACACUGGCACAGGCUGAGCAGAUGAUGAGAUGCCAUUGAGUAAGGGUCCCGGACUUCCGUUCUACACGGAUCUUCCACUACACUUUGCUUGCUGAGUGAUGGUCUCACCCAAAGUCCUCUCCAGCCAGCCGGCCCAUCACCACCCCUACCGCUGGAAAGGACACUUCAGUCGUAAGGUCUUGGAUGGUUCUGGGGACCUCGGGGACUUGGCUCGGGCUUCUUCUGGUCUGUUGCUUUCACACACCUGCUUUGGAUGUUUUCUCCUGCAUUUCUACCUGGACGUAUUUCCAUAGCUCCCUUGCAGCUGUCACCUUCUGUGGAAGCAUCCUGAUGACUGUCGCCUCCUGUGGAAGCGCCCUGAUGGCCCACAUCUGUCCCAGGCGCUCCUUUUACUCUCUGGCUCCUAAACACUUGUCUGUAUCUUGUUACGUCCACCUUGCUGUUGUUAACGCCCCUACCUCUUUGCAUGGUAGAUGUGGGUGUUGCUCUCUUAGCUGCAUAGAGCAGGGUGGGUCUGGCUGCCUGGCCCCAGUGCAGGUAUCUGUAGCUUCCCGCCUGCCUGGCAGGGCUUUGAACU